rnacentral:lncRNA from 1 species
UUUAGGGGACUUGGUAUGUCUUCCUCACUGUAAGGUGGAUCCCUUCCAUCAAAUAGAUAAUCUGAGCUAAUAUAAAUGAGAAAUGCUCCAAUUGCAGCUGCUUCCUUAGCUAAAUUCCCAGAAGCAUCCACAUUAAAUUGAGAAGCAGCAUCUGGCUGAUUCUCUACAAUAUCUGGUCUUCUCUGCUGCACAAUGUACUAUGACAUGAGGCUGAAAUUCAUGAAUGAUGUGAUGAACUGCAUUAGAAUCCAACAGAUUAUUAACCUGUUCAAAUUUUGGUCUUGCUCUUCUAAAACUACAACCAACAGCAUGCUAGUUAUUCUGCUGAAAUUCUUUGUAUACAGCUCUGCCAAGGAGUCCAAUGGCAUCAGUAAUUAGAGCCCGCCUUCUGGGGAUGUUUACUUUCUCCCAACCCACCAUGCACAACGAUGGAGCAGCUGCCACCUCCCCAAGCGCGCUGUAUCCCACUGACACCCUCUGUCUUUGUGAGAGAAAGUGAAGCUGAAAUCAGAGCUGUUUUCCACUCUCUGUUGGCUCACAGUGUCAAUUUGGAAGAAGCGCCUCAUUUGUUGUAAAUGUCCAGUUCUUAAUCUGUAAAGUGGAGUAUAUAUCUCUCUGCUUCUGCUCAUGGGUAUGGUGAGAGGAGGAGGAGUUAAUGCAAUAAUAUAUGUAAAUGAAUGAAGUAUUUUUUUUUUUGAGAAUGAUGAUUUUUAUUAGCAAUCAAUAAGUUGGAAUGCCAUGGCUCAGUUGCUGCAGAGUAAAGUACUGAGUGACCACUGCCUGUCUGAUUGGGAGUUGGUUCUGUUUCCUGAGCAUUGCCAGAAGGCAACAUUUAGUCAAAGGGGAAAGGUGUGAGGGAGGAAUUCAGGCCCUGGGGCAGACACAGGAUCAAAUUUGGCUUUAGCCAGUUAACUAAUGGUGACUUUGGGCAAGUCACUUCAGUUUUUACAUCAAUGUAAUUAUAAAAAAUGUUGAUAUUUUUUAUAAUUAGAGAACUACUAUUUAAUUCUGAUCUGUAUUAAGUGUCCAAAAGGAAACUUCAAAUACAUACUAAAUCCUGAUUUCAUAUCAUUUCUAAUGUUCAGUAUGUUGAUGGGCAACAUAUUUUCUGUCACUUUAUGAAAAUUCCUCAAAAUAGAGAACAAAUCAUAGUAUCCAUCCUGACUCUUAUAAGUAGCAUACUGCAACAGUUGGUUCCUGUCAGUAAAUGAUCUUAAAUUUUGCUGUUUUGUGUCUGAGUUUGACUACCAGGUUGAAGAUUCAACUACUAGGAAGUUGGGCUUUAGGAGAUGUCCAAUUCCUGCCUUGGACUGAUGCAUUUAUUCUGAUUUCCAUGAUGGGUUCAGUAUAAAUAAUUAUUUCAAUUGUUCCACAAAUAUUUAUUGAGCACUGACUCUGUGGGAUACUGUUGGAUUCUUAGGAUAUGGAUAUUAACAUGUGGAUGAUAGAAUGAGACAUUUCAAAAUGCAUCUCCUAAGUAUUCCUGAAGGACUGAAUUGAGAAUAAGUCACUUUAUGAAGGGAUAAAAGCUGAACAUUUUUUAAAGAAUUGAUGGAAGUUUAAAAGUACCAAAAAAAAAAAUUGAUGAAAGUCAUGAUCAUCAGAUUCUGGAAAAAUGAAAAGUCCCAAGUUAAGAUACACACAAGUAAAUAAAAGCCUAGAUAUAGUGAGACUGCUAGGAAACAAAGUAACCUGCAAAACCAAUUAAAGACAAUAGCUGAAAAUUAGGCUAACAGUAGUUUUACCUAGUAUUGCUUUUCAGAAGAAAACUUGAAAGCACUGAAUGAAAGUAAACCCUUAUAAAAUGUAAUUUAAGUGGAGGUUGAAAUAAAAUUUUCAAAGGUUGAUAGUUUAUCUCUCCCUUACUAAAUGUCUUCACUUCUUAAUCUUUUGGAAGGUUACUGGAUUUUAUCUCUACCCUUUACUUCAAC